AACGAACGCUGGCGGCAUGCCUAACACAUGCAAGUCGAACGAGACCUUCGGGUCUAUUGUCGCACGGGUGCGUAACGCGUGGGAACCUGCCCUUAUGUUCGGAAUAACUCCCCGAAAGGGGUGCUAAUACCGGAUAAUAUCUUCUGACCAAAGAUUUAUCGCCUUUGAAUGGUCCCGCGUUGGAUUAGCUAGUUGUUAGGGUAAAAGGCUACCAAGGCGACGAUGCAUAGCUGGUAUGAGAGGAUGAUCAGCCACACUGGGACUGAGACACGGCCCAGACUCCUACGGGAUGCAGCAGUGGGGAAUAUUGGACCAUGGGCGAAAGCAUGAUCCAGUAAUGCCGCGUGAGUGAUGAAGGCAUUAGGGUUGUAAAGCUCUUUUAACCGGGAUGAUAAUGACAGUACCGGGAGAAUAAGCUCCGGCUAACUACGUG
rnacentral:rRNA from 1 species